rnacentral:rRNA from 1 species
UAGUCCACGCCGUAAACGAUGUCUACUAGCCGUUGGGGUCCUUGAGACUUUAGUGGCGCAGCUAACGCACUAAGUAGACCGCCUGGGGAGUACGGUCGCAAGAUUAAAACUCAAAUGAAUUGACGGGGGCCCGCACAAGCGGUGGAGCAUGUGGUUUAAUUCGAAGCAACGCGAAGAACCUUACCUACUCUUGACAUCCAGAGAAUUUAGCAGAGAUGCUUUAGUGCCUUCGGGAACUCUGAGACAGGUGCUGCAUGGCUGUCGUCAGCUCGUGUUGUGAAAUGUUGGGUUAAGUCCCGUAACGAGCGCAACCCUUGUCCUUAGUUACUAACAUUAAGUUGAGAACUCUAAGGAGACUGCCGGUGACAAACCGGAGGAAGGCGGGGACGACGUCAAGUCAUCAUGGCCCUUACGAGUAGGGCUACACACGUGCUACAAUGGCCAGUACAAAGGGUUGCCAAGCCGCGAGGUGGAGCUAAUCCCAGAAAGCUGGUCGUAGUCCGGAUCGGAGU